rnacentral:rRNA from 1 species
GAUUAAUGUUGGCAGUGUGCCUAACACAUGCAAGUCGAGCGGGGUUUUCGGACCUAGCGGCGGACGGGUGAGUAAUGCGUAGGAAGCUGCCCGAUAGAGGGGGAUACCGGUUGGAAACGACUGUUAAUACCGCAUAAUGUCUACGGACCAAAGUGUGGGACCUUCGGGCCACAUGCUAUCGGAUGCGCCUACGUGGGAUUAGCUAGUUGGUGAGGUAAUGGCUCACCAAGGCGACGAUCUCUAGCUGGUUUGAGAGGAUGAUCAGCCACACUGGAACUGAGACACGGUCCAGACUCCUACGGGAGGCAGCAGUGGGGAAUAUUGGACAAUGGGCGCAAGCCUGAUCCAGCCAUGCCGCGUGUGUGAAGAAGGCCUUCGGGUUGUAAAGCACUUUCAGCGAGGAGGAAGGGUGGUGUGUUAAUAGCACAUCAUUUAGACGUUACUCGCAGAAGAAGCACCGGCUAACUCUGUGCCAGCCGCCGCCGUAA